UCCGGUUUGCGACCGGCAGUCUGGGUAGAGCGGUUAACUACCCACAGGGGUUGCGCUCGUUGCGGGACUCAACCCAACACCUCACGGCACGAGCUGACGACAGCCAUGCAGCACCUGUGCUAGCCCCUUACGGACACCGGCUUUCACCGGCUUUAACUAGCAUGUCAAGCCUAGGUAAGGUUCUUCGCGUUGCAUCGAAUUAAGCCACAUGCUCCGCCGCUUGUGCGGGCCCCCGUCAAUUCCUUUGAGUUUCAGCCUUGCGGCCGUACUCCCCAGGCGGGGCACUUAUCGCGUUAGCUGCGGCACCGAAGGGGUCGCUCCCCCCGGCACCUAGUGCCCAUCGUUUACGGCGUGGACUAC
rnacentral:misc_RNA from 1 species